AAAGAUCGAUACCGAGGGGGGCGAUGAUGCCCCGGACGAAUUCCUGCUCUGGCAGGCAGUCCGUACCCAGUACUGGCUGAAACUCCCUAUACCUCAACAAGUUGCCACUCCGGCGUGAAGGUAUCGUUCU
rnacentral:ncRNA from 1 species